UACGGGGGGGGCAAGCGUUGUUCGGAAUUACUGGGCGUAAAGGGCUCGUAGGCGGCCAACUAAGCCAUACGUGAAAUCCCUCGGCUUAACCGGGGAACUGCGUCUGAUACUGGAUGGCUUGAGUUCGGGAGAGGGAUGCGGAAUUCCAGGUGUAGCGGUGAAAUGCGUAGAUAUGUCACAGAACACCAAUUGCGAAGGCAGCUUACUAUGGUUUGAUUGACACUGAGGCACGAAAGCGUGGGGAUCAAACAGG
rnacentral:rRNA from 1 species